rfam:Solenopsis invicta Si_gnG.contig33307, whole genome shotgun sequence.
CAAACGGCCCUUGUCAGGGCCACCAACAAAUAUACCAAAAAUAACU